GCCUCUUGAAUAAAAGGUAAGAGAGGUCGGACCUGCUCAGUGGCUGGCCGAUAUUAGGCUAGUUUAACAGUUAAUUAAAUGUACUAAGGUAGCGCGGUGGAUUGCCCUUUAAUUGUGGGAUGGUAUGAAUGGUUUGACGCGGAAAAACUGUCUUUUAUGAAGUAGAUGAAAUUUCUUUUUAAGUGAAAAAGCUUAAGUUUUUGCAAAAGACGAGAAGACCCUGUCGAACUUAAUUAAAAGGUUUAACUUAUUUAAUGGUGGUUAAAUUUUUGAAGUUUUGUUGGGGAAACAGGGGAUUAAGUUGAACGUCCCCUUAUUAAAAUGAAGACCCCUUAUGAAGGUCAUAAGCAAAAGUUACCGCAGGGAUAACAGCGUAAUUCUUUUUCGAGAGAUCUUAUUAAGGAAAAGGUGUGCGACCUCGAUGUUGAAUUAGGGUUACUUCACGGUUGUAGCCGCUGGGAAAAGUAAGACUGUUCGUCUUUUAAAGCCCU
rnacentral:rRNA from 1 species